GCUACCGGGCAGGACGCCACGGAGGGAAGGAAAGACAGGCUAAAGAAAAGGAUAAAGAAGAAGAAAAGAAAAGCAGCGCAAAGCGGGAGAGAGCCCUCAACGCCAUCCCCCGAAUUACACCUAAAGGCUAACAUUUAUUAUUAUUAUUAUUAUUAUUAUUAUUAAUUUUCUUAGCAGACAACUUACAGUUAUCACAAAAUAUACAUAUUUCACAAUGCAGUAAGAGCAGAUAAAAUAUACAAUAACUUCAGUCCUGAUAAGAGCAACUUUAACUAAAAUAUAUCCAUGUACAGGUCGAUAAUCACACUAUAGUAAAAAUACAUAGAAUACUUCCGUCCUAAUAAGAGUAAGUUGAACUAAUUUAUACACAUUUUAAGAAACACAAUAUAUAGUUGUUGUUGUUACUGUAUUUAAACAAUAUGUAGAAUCGCCGAAAUCACAAGCUUACACAAACAUCUCCCGUCCAUAAGUAAUAAACUCGCGCACGUUCACGUUGCAGCAGACGCUGCUCUACAGGAUUGCAAUGACAGAUUACGCGCUUUGCGUCGUGAGAGAGGAAUCACACGCUCCCGCUGGCAGAUAGCAAGGUUUGAUGCGCAGAUCAUCGGGGAAACAUGAAUCCUUGGGAGCACUGAAUUCGUCUUAAAAGUUCUGCUGCAGAAACACAGCUAACCGAGGGACGAGUGAAUUAAGAGAGAGAGAGAGACAUGAACCCAACUCCAAGGAGAAGGAACAGCAAAGAGCCUGCCAGAGGGAAAGCCCAGGAGCAGACAGAGGGGGGCUCGGAGGACUAGGAGGAACUGGAGAGACUGAGGAGGGAAAACAAGGAGCUGGAGGCGAUGUACAAGGAGGAGAAACUGAGGAGAGAGGAGCUUGAAGAGACCCUCCGAGAUCUCAAGCCCCAGGGAAUGGACCCCCAGUUUGAGACUCUAGCCACCCCCACAGCAACGAUAUAUUUCUUUCAAAACGGUGUUCAGAAUUAGUUGUCCCUCUCUAAGCCGGACAUGUCUGGAGUUGUCUGAUUUAAAAAACAAACAAACAAAAACAUUUUGUAUAAAUAUCUACAGUAGGCCUAAACUACUGCUCUCAAUUAGAACUGUUUCCUGUAUCUUGUAUUUGAAUUUACUCUGAAAGGAAACCAAAUUCACAUAUAUUUUUUUUAGUGGAAUGGAAUGUACUUUCUAAACAAUUGUUUUUCUGAGACGUUUAACGGCUCUUAGUCGAAUUUGCUCUCAAACGUGAUUAUUUUCUGUAUUGUUCUCAGUUGAAUUUGCUCCUGUUUGCCGCUGACUUGACUGUAUUUUUAUAACGGCUCUUAUCUGUAAUGUGAUAUUUUGUAACACCUGUAAGUCGCCCUGGAUAAGGGCGUCUGCUAAGAAAUUAAUAAUAAUAAUAAUAAUAAUAAUAAUAAUAAUAAUGCAGUAAAAUCUAAUUAUUACCUGAAGCGCACUUUUUUUUUUUUAUUAGUAACAGUUAACAGAAAACAGAACACUCCCUUCACAGGAAUAAUCAUUUUGAAAUGUACACAGAAAGGUUGACAGUGUGUUUAUUGCAGUUUAUUUUUUUUUGUCGUCUUUUGCUUCCGUUUUUGACAUCCAGUUUUGAAUUUCUUUUUAUCGGUCUAGUUCCAGAGGUUCGGCAGGUUUCGUUUUUGAUGGUUUAAAAUCGUAUAAUUAUAAUUCGGGCGUUAAUGAUAAUAAGAGACGUUAUGAUAACGAGGCUCCAUAAAACGCGCGUCAAAUGAAAGUCUUGCUUGUUGGAAAGUCUGACGGAACUCUUGUAUGAUGUGUGUCGAGAUCAGCCAAUAGCUGUCGGCUUUACGAAGCACUGGGGCGGACCUAGGACUAUAUAAGGAAGGAUAGGACAAUGAUGUCACAAGUGGGCAGAGUUAGUAAACAGUGACGCAAUCCUGGAGCCCGUAGAGCUCUUUCACUGCGCGCUCUCAAUGCUUUUAAAGUAUUCACUCUCGCCCUGGCAAAAUGUUUCUUCACAUAAUCAACAUAAAUAACAGCCAGUCUCUUUAUAAUGACGAUAUUUUGUAUUGUUAUUAAAACAUACCGGUAUAUCCUGGCGCUGCAGCACAGCAUCUCCGCAAUGUAUUCAGUACUGAGUGGGCUCCACAGCAUCUCCGCAAUGUAUUCAGUACUGAGUGGGCUCCACAGCAUCUCCGCAAUGUAUUCAGUACUGAGUGGGCUCCACAGCAUCUCCGCAAUGUAUUCAGUACUGAGUGGGCUCCACAGCAUCUCCGCAAUGUAUUCAGUACUGAGUGGGCUCCACAGCAUCUCCGCAAUGUAUUCAGUACUGAGUGGGCUCCACAGCAUCUCCGCAAUGUAUUCAGUACUGAGUGGGCUCCACAGCAUCUCCGCAAUGUAUUCAGCACUGAGUGGGCUCCACAGCAUCUCCGCAAUGUAUUCAGUACUGAGUGGGCUCCACAAAUGGCGCCUGUAAUUGAUUACCGAACUGCAUCAUGGGAUUGACUGUCCUAUCCUGCUUUAUACAGUCCGAGGUGAGGACACAGAAAGUCUGACAGAGAGUUUAUUGCAGUUUAACGAAGUUACGUAAAACACAGUCCCUGUGCAGCUCCCACUCAGCACAGGUAGAAAUAUUGUGUUCCUGUGAGUCCGCAUUACAGUGUCAAUGAAACGGAUGUGUCGCGGGACAGACCCAGACUAGGGUUUAAAUUCAUAAUACACGGGUUUUAAAAGUGACGUUUGGCACAGAUUGAAAUAUAGAAACAUUACAUUUUACUGGAAAGUACAAAUCUGUGCUCCUCUCGUUAAUGAUCGCGUUGCUAUAGGUUUUGUGAAUGGAGGCUGUUCUGCUGUGAGUAUAUCGGGGUGCUCUGUGCUCCCCUCGUUCAUGAUCGCGUUGCUAUAGGUUUUGUGAAUGAAGGCUGUUCUGCUGUGAGUAUAUCGGGGUGCUCUGUGCUCCCCUCGUUAAUGAUCGCGUUGCUAUAGGUUUUGUGAAUGGAGGCUGUUCUGCUGUGAGUAUAUCGGGGUGCUCUGUGCUCCCCUCGUUAAUGAUCGCGUUGCUAUAGGUUUUGUGAAUGGAGGCUGUUCUGCUGUGAGUAUAUCGGGGUGCUCUGUGCUCCCCUCGUUAAUGAUCGCGUUGCUAUAGGUUUUGUGAAUGGAGGCUGUUCUGCUGUGAGUAUAUCGGGGUGCUCUGUGCUCCCCUCGUUAAUGAUCGCGUUGCUAUAGGUUUUGUGAAUGGAGGCUGUUCUGCUGUGAGUAUAUCGGGGUGCUCUGUGCUCCCCUCGUUAAUGAUCGCGUUGCUAUAGGUUUUGUGAAUGGAGGCUGUUCUGCAGUGAGUAUAUCGGGGCGCUCUGUGCUCCCCUCGUUAAUGAUUUGAGUUUUGUUGCACAGUCGAAACACAGCUAACUGCGGAACGACUGGUUUCGGAGAUACAGACACGGAGAUGACUUCAAGGAGGAGGAAACAAAGAUGUCGCCACAGCUGCAUGGGAACCUCAGCAUUUCCCCGGUUCAUUAUUAAUAGCGGGCUGUCAAGACUUGUCAGCGGGUCGAGCGAGGUGAGAUAAAGACACACACAGGAUUAUUUAAAGUCGUUCGUGACUCGCAUGACUCUGAACAGGUCUGUGUUUCUCUCUCGUCAUGAACCAGCUGCUGCCCAACCCGAGGAACUGCUUUGAAGACAUUUCCUUCCUGUGUCAUGUGACCCGCAGCUCGCUUCAGCUACAGUGAAGAGGAGCGCUUGUGCGAGUCGAUUUUAUACUUCGUAUUGUUGAGGAUAGUGGAUAAUAAAACUAUAUGCAUAAUAAUAAUAAUAAUAAUAAUAAUAAUAAUAAUAACAACACACAUAAAUAUAACACUAAUAAUCAGAGUUGAAAGUCAGCCAGUACGCCCCGGAACUGCGUACCGGCAAAACAUCUUGUCAAGGUACUUCAAUAUUUCAUCUUAUCACAAUGAUAGGCUACAUCAUUUUUUCUUUGUAUUUUCCGUCCUUUUCGCUUCUUCUUCUUCGUUGUUCGGUUAUUAUUGAUGUUUAAGCAAAAUAACUCGACGUCACGCAGGUUCCGGUCAUGUGACUUAUGAUGUCAGAGUAUGCUGACUGCCAAAGGGGCUUCCGCAUACUUGUGAACAUGGAGUCUGCAAAAUAAGGGAGCUUUUGUAAACUGAAAUUUUCUAAAGACACAAACAUACAACUAUUCCACUAUAAUUUGGAAAAACUAUUAUUGUAUUAAAUACAUAAGAACAUAAGAAAGUUUACAAACAAGAGGGGGCCCCAUUCAGCCCAUCUUGCUCGUUUGGUUGUUAGUAGCUUAUUGAUCCCAGAAUCUCAUCAAGCAGCUUCUUGAAGGAUCCCAGGGUGUCAGCUUCAACAACAUUACUGGGGAGUUGGUUCCAGACCCUCACAAUUCUCUGUGUAAAAAAAGUGCCUCCUAUUUUCUGUUCUGAAUGCCCCUUUAUCUAAUCUCCAUUUGUGACCCCUGGUCCUUGUUUCUUUACUGCACAAUACUGUUAUUUUGGUACUGCGUCAGUGACUUGGAGAAAAAGAACGUCUUAUUUAGUUUUUCAGGGCAAAUCGGGUAACCCUAACGACAUGAACAGUGCGAGAAACUCAAGCUCUAAUAUAAAUUUGGUCAGACACCAAAAUCCAAGCAGAACAACUGGACAAAACAUACAAAAAGAUCAUAGUUUUUUUUUCCUAUUAAGUGCUGUUGUAACUGUUAGUAUUAACCUGUAUAUUUAAAGUUCAAAAUGAAUAAUUCAAAAUGAAACAUAAUCUUAAUAGAUAUAAAAUUGUUUAAAAUACAAUGCUCCCAUGGCACUUCAUUAGCAACACAGACGUUUCCAAAAACAAACCCAGCAUUUGAGUAACUGUGAUAACAAGAAGUGGUCGGGAUGAUUUCAAACAGCAUGAAAAGAUAAGGGGCCGGUCUAAAGAAAGAGAAAGAAAAAUGACAUUUGAAGCGCUGUACUCUUUAACAACAGACUUGUUUCAAUUGUGUUGCAGAGGAGAAACACAGCUAACUGAGGAACGAGUGAUUCAGUAGAGAGAGGCAUGGACCCGACUCCAAGGAGAAGAAGAAGGAGUAAAGAGAAUGACCCUCCUGAUAUGUCACAAGAGCCUGCCAGGUACUGAAAGUCUUUUCUUAUUAGUUCACGGUGCGGCGGCAUGCUGAAUAAUACCUUUACUAAGAAGCUGUUCAGGAAUCCAAAUCACUGAGCUGAGUCUCAAGACCAGGGUUAGAGUCCAGACCUCUCUGUGCUUUAUAAUGCUUCCCUAUGCUUUACCAGACCUCUCUGUGCUUUACACUGCUUCCCUAUGCUUUACCAGACCUCUCUGUGCUUUACAAUGCUUCCCUAUGCUUUACCAGACCUCUCUGUGCUUUACAAUGCUUCCCUAUUCUUUACCAGACCUCUCUGUGGUUUACAAUGCUUCCCUGUGCUUUACCAGACCUCCCUGUGCUUUACAAUGCUUCCCUAUGCUUUACCAGACCUCUCUGUGCUUUACAAUGCUUCCCUAUGCUUUACCAGACCUCUCUGCUUUACAAUGCUUCCCUAUGCUUUACCAGACCUCUCUGUGCUUUACAAUGCUUCUCUAUGCUUUACCAGACCUCUCUGUGCUUUACAAUGCUUCCCUAUGCUUUACCAGACCUCUCUGUGCUUUACAAUGCUUCCCUAUGCUUUACCACACCUCUCUGUGCUUUACAAUGCUUCCCUAUGCUUUACCAGACCUCUUCCUCUCUCAUUCCCCUCUUUCUUUCUCAUUCUCAUUUGAAAAACCAUGUUAAUGA